UUCGGAGGGUGCAAGCGUUAUCCGGAUCUACUGGGUUUAAAGGGUGUGUAGGCGGAUUAUUAAGUCAGCGGUGAAAUCUCCGAGCUCAACUCGGAAACUGCCAUUGAUACUAUUAGUCUUGAAUAUUGUUGAGGUGGGCGGAACGGGUCAUGUAGCGGUGAAAUGCAUAGAUAUGACGCGGAACACCGAUUGCGAAGGCAGCCCACUAAGCAAUGAUUGACGCUGAGGCACGAAAGCGUGGGGAGCAAACAGG
rnacentral:rRNA from 1 species